ACCUCAUCCAGAGCGACCGAGAGACGUGGCUCCCUGACGUCGCGGCAACCCUGCGGACCCCCGGGUCCGAGCACGGGUGCCAACGCCACGAUCGAUGCGAA
rfam:Kytococcus sedentarius DSM 20547, complete genome.